UACGGGGGGGGCAAGCGUUGUUCGGAAUUACUGGGCGUAAAGGGCUCGUAGGCGCCAACUAAGUCAGACGUGAAAUCCCUCGGCUUAACCGGGGAACUGCGUCUGAUACUGGUUGGCUUGAAUCCGGGAGAGGGAUGUGGAAUUCCAGGUGUAGCGGUGAAAUGCGUAGAUAUCAGGAGGAACACCAAUUGCGAAGGCAGCUCGCUGGGACGUUACUGACGCUGAGACGCGAAAGCGUGGGGAGCAAACAGG
rnacentral:rRNA from 1 species